rnacentral:rRNA from 1 species
GACGAACGCUGGCGGCGUGCUUAACACAUGCAAGUCGAACGGAAAGGCCCUGCUUUUGUGGGGUGCUCGAGUGGCGAACGGGUGAGUAACACGUGAGUAACCUGCCCUUGACUUUGGGAUAACUUCAGGAAACUGGGGCUAAUACCGGAUAGGAGCUCCUGCUGCAUGGUGGGGGUUGGAAAGUUUCGGCGGUUGGGGAUGGACUCGCGGCUUAUCAGCUUGUUGGUGGGGUAGUGGCUUACCAAGGCUUUGACGGGUAGCCGGCCUGAGAGGGUGACCGGGCAAAUUGGGACCGGGAUACGGGCCCGAAUCCUAAGGGGGGGAAGAGGGGGGGAAAUUUGAAAAAGGGGGGGAAGCCGAAGGCGCAACGCCGGGUGGGGGGAGGAGGCCCUUGGGUUUGAAACCCCGUUCCGCUUUGGCGGAGGGGGGGGGACGGGAAAGGGGAAAAAAAGCCCGGGUAAAUACGGG